GGGUAAACGCUGGCGGCGUGCCUAAAACAUGCAAGUCGAACGGGCAGUCUUCGGAUUGUCAGUGGCAGACGGCUGAGUAACGCGUGGGUGACGUACCUAUUAGUGGGGAAUAACUGCCCGAAAGGGUGGCUAAUUCCGCAUACGUCUGAUUUUUUGUUAGAUCAGGGAAAGCUUCGCAAGAGGCGCUGAUGGAGCGGCCCGCGUCCGAUUAGCUAGUUGGUGGGGUAACGGCCUACCAAGGCGUCGAUCGGUAGCUGGUCUCAGAGGAUGAUCAGCCAGACUGGGACUGAGACACGGCCCAGACUCCUACGGGAGGCAGCAGUUAGGAAUUUUGGGCAAUGGGCGAAAGCCUGACCCAGCAACGCCGCGUGGGUGACGAA
rnacentral:rRNA from 1 species